AGAGUUUGAUCCUGGCUCAGGAUGAACGCUAGCUACAGGCUUAACACAUGCAAGUCGAGGGGCAUCAGGGUGUAGCAAUACACCGCUGGCGACCGGCGCACGGGUGAGUAACACGUAUCCAACCUGCCCUUUACUCGGGGAUAGCCUUUCGAAAGAAAGAUUAAUACCCGAUGGCAUAACAUGACCUCCUGGUUUUGUUAUUAAAGAAUUUCGGUAGAGGAUGGGGAUGCGUUCCAUUAGGCAGUUGGCGGGGUAACGGCCCACCAAGGCAACGAUCAGUAGGGGUUCUGAGAGGAAGGUCCCCCACAUUGGAACUGAGACACGGUCCAAACUCCUACGGGAGGCAGCA
rnacentral:rRNA from 1 species